AGUGUACAUUUAUAUACAUGUUUAAGCCAGAAUGAUUUAACAUUCAAAUAUGAUUUCCUUACGACUUUAAACCAGAACAAUUCUGAUGGUAGUGUCUUUUAUGUCCUUCCAAAGAAAUAUUAAAUCAAUAUGAGGUGUAACUGGUUUAAACUGGUUUAGCAGCUUGACUGGAACCCUGACCACACUUUACAAGCUCAUCUAACGGAGAAUUAUCGCGAGAUUUGAAUCAGCGUGAGCCUUGUGAUGUUUGGCCACCAAACUCCGAACCUAAAAAGAAGCAAGAGCCGCAGAAAAAAGCGCGAGGAGGCAAAUGUAACAGAAUCAAGUAAGCGCAAGCAAAGAGGAAGAUGGUUCCAGAGCGCAGACGCCACGGCCUGAAAGGAGCGAUCUCCCCUGGUCCUGUAACGAGUACGAGGGACCAUGAGAAGGUUCAGGUCCUGAGACCUCGGACACCAAGAGAAGGGGUAUAAGGACACAACAAGUCUCUAAUGUAGGAGGGAAUCUGGCUGUGAAAGACCCUGAAGUAGCUUCAUCUGGUCUGUUCCUGUUUGGCUGUGACUCCAUCCUGGAGAGAAAUAUCAGCUGUGCUGCUGCCAUCAACACCCUGGAGUUGAAGAUGGAGCCGAUCAGCAUGUGCAGCUGAAGUUGUGUGUGUAGAUGACAAAACGUUAGUGUAACAUGAUCAGAGUGACAUAAAUGUUAUGUUUUGAAACUAAAUACGCCAUGUUGAAUCCAUGUUUUUAUAUGAUUGAUAGUUUUGUAAUAUUUAAGAGUGUUCUAUGAUGGAAGCUACAGGCUAAUGCUGAUCACAUCCGAUGCAACGUUUGUUUAGUGAACCUUGUUAAGCACAGAUGUUAAGAGUGUUUAAGCUUUGGUUAUGAUAAGUAAUCAUACUUUCUUGAUGCAAAUGUUGUUAAAUGAUAAUCUAAGUAGUUUUCUAUUAGUUUUUAUUAGUUCACACAGCAGGCAUUUUUGAUUUGUUUAUUACUUUCCUUUGUCGACCACACAAUAAUAUUCACGAGUGUUUCACCUAUGCUGACAUCUGUAUCAGUGUGAAUAUGGAGAGGCUGCUGUAUAUCGCCUGAUUACGAUUAAAGAACAAAGAAAGUAAAGGAAUCCUGUCUGUGCUCCUUAGCGGCACACCGAGGAGGAUAUUGAUAUCCUUGCUUCUGUCUCCUUGAACCCCAGUGGGCCUCAGCAGAUGGCCGCUCACACUGAGCCUGGUUCUGCUGGAGGUUUCUUCCUGUUCAAAGGGAGUUUUUCCUCUCCACUGUCGCUA